UACGGAGGGUGCAAGCGUUAUCCGGAUUCACUGGGUUUAAAGGGUGCGUAGGUGGGUUGGUAAGUCAGUGGUGAAAUCUCCGUGCUUAACAUGGAAACUGCCAUUGAUACUACUGGUCUUGAAUUUUCUGGAGGUAAGCGGAAUAUGUCAUGUAGCGGUGAAAUGCUUAGAUAUGACAUAGAACACCAAUUGCGAAGGCAGCUCGUUACACGAAGAUUGACUCUGAGGCACGAAAGCGUGGGGAUCAAACAGG
rnacentral:rRNA from 1 species